UAAUAUAUUUUAAACCAAUGAAGAUAGUACUCGAAAGAGUUCCUUGCGGGAAGUUUGAUGCAGCAUUUUAUAUUAUUCUGUGAUAGUUACUAACUCACCGUAAUCAGGAAAAUUACACACCUGUUAUAAUGGGACAGUUUUCGUCUAAAUCCGAUCACGAAACUUGCUAUGACUGCAGGACUCCAGAAUAUCAAAUUCUAAGAACGGUGUACCAUGUUAUCUCCGAAAAGACAAAUGGUGCUGACGGAAUUUAUAUUAACAGCGAAGCUGUGGAGAAUCUUAAAUACCACUAUAAAAAAUCGGUUUGGCUGAAACACAUUUCUUAUGACCAACAAGCUACUAUCAGUCAAGUACCUGCGUCAGGACCAGUUAAUGAAAACAAAAAGCUACGAAGUGCAAUAGAAGUGGAAGUAUUCGAUCCAACUCCCUCAGAAGCAACAGAAUCGUUCCUGGUGGCAUUUAGGCAGAUUCUUCAUAAAGAUGGCAUUAAUGUUAAACAAAUUGCUAAGGUCACUGACGGCAAAACACCAGUUGUUUUGAUUUGCAAUAUGGCAAGUCGUUUAGAGGCCGAUAUUGACAGAGUAUUAUCAUCAGUCAGAAGAACAGAUUACAGCCGUAUAGUGUUGAUAGCCUUACAUGUUAUGCCUAAACACGCAUUACCACAAGAAGGGACAAAGGAGCAGCUAAGUUUACAAGAGGAAAAGUAUUACAAUUUGCGAGGUUCGUGAAGUUAGGGGAAAUUAUACAGAAGAACAGUAACUCUGUAUGGCACGGCCGCGACUGACAGGCUGAAAUGUUGUUUUAGUUAAAUCAUCGAAAAGCAAAGGAAUAAGCACAUUUGAAAGACAGCAGUUUGUUUUAGGAUCAUUUAAUCUACCUGCAAGAUAAAGGAAUUAACAAGGUCAACGUAUCGAAAGGAUUUUGUUGAAGGACACUCAAGGUAUUUUGCAUUGUAUUACCGGUAUAUCUGAAGAUUUAUUUCAAGCAAAACAGCUCAAACGUUCAAGUACACCAAAAGGUAUAUCAAAUGUGUUUGUAGCAUAAACUGCUUUGAGAGGCUUGAAACUGUACGUGCUCAAUUUUGUUUGUGCAAAUAGAAAGUGAUUUGACAUUUUAAAAUGGGUCGUAAAAUCUACUGAAUUGUCACACUCGGAAAAACAGUUUGCAUUUAAACAUAAACUGUAUAAAUAUUUAAAUGUUUAUAAAAGAAAAGAUUACAAAACUGCUUGCACAAUGACGUUUUUCUGUUGAAUAUUAGACACAAGUGACAGUUUCCUUAUACCUUCACUUCUCCAAUGCUAGUUAUUUUACUCUCAUACGCUGUAUGCGUAACAUCUAAUAGGCAGUCGUCCUGGUACAAAUACAUUCACUACUGGACGCACAUGCCAUUAAAAGGGUCAUGAAAUUGGCCUUGAUUUUUCAAAAGUUUUUAACAGAGUUUUAACAGGUCACCAUUAAAUUCACCCAUUACUUCUUACUAUUUAAUGGGAUUUUCAUGACCAUAGAUUUAAUGCCAUACAUUAAAAAGCCAUGAAAUAAGUACAUGUAUAUUAAAACCCUGGUAAAAUAUACCUUGUUAAAAUGACUUUGAUGGCCAUGAAAAUCUACUUAAAAUAAACCAUUAAAAGAAGUUAGCAGGCUCCUUAAAACUCCAUGAAAUUUUUAAUUGACAUGAAAUUAAUUUGCCAUUAAAAAUUACCCCUUAAUUUCACAUGAAAUAGUAAAAUCUAAUGGGAUUAUCAAUGUGUUUAAUACUCUGUUAAUGGCCGUUAAUUAUCAAAACAUUGAUCAAUGUCUCAUUAAAUACGAAAUAAAGAAAUAUUGUAUUAUAUUUUAUUGUAUUGUUGUAUUGAUAAUUAAUACUGCACGCAUCAAUAUAAAAGAAAAUAAAAGAAAGAAAGGUAGAGAGCGAGUGUGAAGUAAGGAAAGUCAUAACAAUUUCAUGAGUUAAGUUUACACAAUUAUAAAAAAGCUAGAGUAAAUAUAUGGUAUAUACUUGACUGCUUGCUAAAAAUCAUGAGACAAUAAUGCACUUUGCAACUAUAUACAUUUCUUUCUAAAAAGGAUAUAGCCACUGUCUCGUAUUUUUAAAAAUAUUCGCAUAAUUAUAUUUGUACCCGUUAGAACACAUGUUAAUUUUUAAAGAGUUGCUUUAGAGUGAAAAUCUUAUAUAAUAAAAGUUUUCCGACAACAUUGUAAAAAAAUUGUCGUUUUCAUAUUGAUAUUAUAUUAGUUUAUUGUCACUUUUUAUUUACAAAAUCUGACAUUUAUUAAAUCAGUCAGUCAGUAACUUUUAAGAAACUUUGGGAAUAGAGAAAAGUAGAAACUUCACAGGUCGCUCAACACGGCAAAAACGAAAAUGUUGCAGGCACGGUUUGAUUGAGCCUGUUCAUGGACGGUAGUGGAAAUGCAUGCUACCGUCCACGCCCUCUAGCCCCGGUUUGAGCAGAACUCAACAUUUACAAAUGCUAAAAGUACAAAAAGCAAUUUAGAGACAUCCGCAGAUGUAUUCAAACGGCGAUGAACAUGGAACCUUCAAUGAUACACGUGUUGUGGCGUGUAAUUCCAUGAAGAGCGGCGUUUGGUCCCCAGAUAAAGUAAAGGGUUUGCCCCAAACGAGAAAACAAUGGGCAGAACUAAACAAACUGGAAUUUAGGAAGGGGAUCUGAGGUUAUGGAGCCUGCGUAUCACAGGAACUGUCAAAGACAAAAUUAAAAACCCAUAAUUCGCACAUUUAUUACGUAAUGACUGGCUCGGGGCAAAUAUGCCAUACUUCCAAUUAAACAGGCUUUGGUGUCAUAAAUUACAUUGUCAAGUAUAUUUGAUAGUUUGUUUUUCUGUUCAUUUUUUAUUAGUGUGUGACAAUAUGGUAUUCAAAUGUUCAUUACGAAGCAAAAUUAGUUUUGACAAGUUAAAUAUGAUUAAAUACAAUUAAUUGAUUAAUUAGUUAAAUUUUCAUUUCAAUUAAAGUUCCUCUGGAUGUUAAAAAAAAAUUGAUCUCAAUAAACAAGGAAAGAUAAUAGAAUCGAUUUUUACUCAAUUCUUCAGUAUGAUCUUGAUUAAAACAAAAGAUAUAGCCCUUGAAACAUAUUAUUAAAGUGGUGGUUUUCAAUGGAAAUUACUUGAUAAAAUUCAGAAGACUUCCCUAAGCCCCGACUUUAUCUCAGUGUUGUUAUAUUUUCUGGUCCUUCGGGAUCAUUGAUUUCAACUCAUUUAGAUUUGAAGAUUGAAUACUGCUUAAGCCGGUGCUAGGGGGCGUGGGCAGUGUUGCAUUUUCCAUUACUGCUCAUGAACAGACUCAAUCAAACCGAGUCUGCAAUUUUCACUGUUUGCAUUGUUUUCGGUGCUUCCGAGGGAUCUACUUUCCAGAUUUUAUUCUAUUGCAGAAAUGAAUAUACAGACAGAUAUAUCUUUUUCAUAUGUACUAUUUGUGAACUUCUUUCUUGUGACCAUUUUGAAUAUGACGGUAUCUUUAUUAGAUUUAUUUAAAUAUCCACGGUGACCGCCUCGGUAGCCUAGUGGUAGAGCGUCCGCUUCGAAUUCGGGAGGUCGUGGGCUCAUACCAAAUAGUUACGCGAUAAAUGUUACCAGUAGCUGCCUUGCAUGACGCUCAGCAUUCAAAGUGAAACUGGCUUCUCUUCUCGCAUAUUCUUGUGGCGAUGGAUUCCAUCAGGAAUGAUGUGUCGAGAGUGAUUAAUAUAAGUUGUAGAACUUGCUUCAAAAUAAACCUAAAAUAAAAUAUGUAUAAACUAAAUAUCCAAGUUCUUCAAUCCCUUGAAAUUUAGCUUGAUUUGUCUCAUGAUAAUGAAUAUUUGAACAGUUGUACCUUAACAAUAUUUGUACAUGUAACAUACUUUAAUGGUCAUUUUGAUAAAAGUAAACUGUAAAAUCCUCUGUAACAUCUUUAGAUCAAGGUGAUUUAUGUUAUAGCUAUGACCAUUGGAAGAGCCAUAUCUAUUCCAAAUGUACAUGUUUGAUCGAACUGGAAAAGGGUGCCCAUCUUAGUUUAAAUAGUCUGUGUAUCCAAAUAACCUAUUUUCCUGAUUAUUUAACUUAACUUAAAUUAGUUGAUCUAAUUACUACUAUCUACAGAAAUAGUUAUCUAAAAUAAGACCAAAACUGAGAUAAAAGUGAGUUAAAGCCAUUAAAAUAAAAACCUUGGUGGCAUUAACUCAUUUACAUUUACAUAAUUUUGGAUUAAUUUCAGUUUGCCAAAACUGCAAUGGGUGUCAUCUUGAAUAAAGAUUUACUUUUGGAUGUGCUUCCCUUUUGAUGUUCCCGAUGUGGAACUUUCCUUUCCUGAAAGUUUUGCGCUUGUAUCAGCUUUUGUAAUAUUAUCUGAAUUUGUACCUGGAAUUUUCUUGUUCUUGAAAGUUUUGGGCUUGUACCAGCGUUUUCAACAUAUUUACUCCACUAGUAAAUCAUAUGUUUUACAAAAUAAAAAUCGCCAAAAAAUCAAACACCAACCCAUAGUUUAAACUGAUUGAUAUUAGCCUGCAAAGUAUUUGAUAUUUUAGUCAUUUUUAUUGCUUUUGCUUUUUAUAUUGCCUUGUUCUCCCUUUUUAUAUCCGAUAAUCUUUUCAAACAUUCUCUUCAUGAAAAUGAUUUUUGUCCGUUCGCAAACAGAAUAUAUAAGAAAAUGUUCAUCUUCAUUAGCUACUCGAAAACAUCAAUAUCGGACAAAGCUGGCGGAAGGUGUAUAGUUCGAUGUUGUUCAGGGGCCAAAUAAUUUCAUGAAUAUGUAAAUGCAUAUAUAGACCCGCUACGCAUCUCCCUGUGUCAGGUGCACAUAUACAGGGUGUUAUUUUUUAACUCUCUGAUUAGAAUUAUGAUCUGUCAAUCGCUGGUUGGACUGUAAUUGUCCAACUCGUGAUGUAUUUAUUUAUCACAUUCAUUUCAAUUAGGUCUGAUAUUUUGUCAAACCUAGCCACGUCUGAAAACAGGUGUUAUUAUCACUGAUUAACAUCCGAACAUAAAUUAUAAGCUUCAUGCAGAGUACGAAAAAUGAAAAACAGAAAUUAUAAUGUGCUGUAGGUAAUACAUUUACCUCGCAAGCAGAAACGUUCUGUAGGAUAUUCUGCAAAGAAAUUUUAAGAAAAAAGCAUUCAUUUCAGAAGGGAAACAAUCCGAUUAUAUAGUUAAAUUGUUGAGUGAACACCGUUUGUUAGUACUAACAAAGGAAAGGUAACCCAUCCAUGUUACAUCUGACAGUCUUGAAAUAGAUUUAUAGAUUUUUUUUAUCUUCCCAUUCCCAUAUUUCUAGAUAUUUUCCUAUACUUUAACGCAUAUAUAUGGGUAGUCGAUAUUAAUUUUUUUCUCCAGCAGUAGCCCUUUUAACAUAUUUCACCUUGUGAAUUUCUGUGGGUUUUGACAUUUUUAGAAACAAUAGUAUGUUUGUUUAUAAAUUUUACUGCAGAAAAUGUUAGACUCUCCCCAGGGAAUUAACUUAUUUGAUCUUUACAUAGGUUUCUAUUUAGAUUGCUAAUCAAAAUGGAUUGCAUUAGAUAUCAAGAACUGCAUUGGAUACCAGUUACUCAAAGAUAGGACUUUAAGAUUCUAGUUCACACAUACAAAGCAUUGCACGACUAAUCACCGAUCUAUGUUAAAGACUUGCUAGAACUCUAUCAGCCAGAAAGAAAUUUGAGAUCCAGGAACAACUCAAAACAACUAGUAGUUCCAAAAAGGACAACUGUGAGGUACGGUAAUCGUAGCUUUUCAUCAACUGUACCGAAGUUAUGGAAUACUCUUCCGGCUACCAUUAGAGACGAUAAAAGUUUGAAUGCUUUCAAAAGCCAUCGAGGCGAACUUUGUCUUCAAUGUCUAUUGAAACCAACUUUGCACUGGAAACAAGAUGUUGUAUGAAUUUUCAAUAGAAGUUAUUUGCUGUUGUUUAUUGUUCUUUAACAUAUUCAGUACAAUUAAUAUGUAGAGUCAAUUAAACCUGAUUCAGACUAACUACUUUUUAAUGUUGAUAUAUUUUUGUAUUGUAUUGCAUGUCCAAUCAGUCUGUGAUAUGUAGUUUGUACUGCGCUUUUGAACGUUUAUUUUAUAGAUGAUAAAAGCGCUAUGAAAAUCUGGUAAAUAAUAAUAAUAAUAAUAAUAAUAAUAUUGUGGUAAUUAGGCAUGCUCUUUCCCCGCUUGGAGGUAAAAAAUGCAUAGUUUCAGGAGGUUCUAGGUCAAUAGCCACCUAUGCCUAACAUAAAGUCUUAGCACAGUUGUCUCCAUUUUUUAAAUAUUUUAUCAAGGAACAUUUAUUUCAGGUUAAAGAGCUCCUUUUCAGAAAAUAUAGAUUAUUGGGUUUUUUCGGCGUGCCGUAUUAAGCACGAUUUUAUGACCUCGUAUGACCUUAUGCCGCCUGAAUGAUGUACCAAUCGGAUUGCUUGGUAUUUCAACCAUAAUGAGAGAUUUUGUAAGAGUGGCGCUGACUGGAGGAAAGGUUGAAAAUGCUUCACUCUGUGUCUUGUGUGACAAUGAGUGAAAUGACAACGCGUCCGUCAUCUAUAACCUCUAUAAGUACAGUACCAUCGGGUUGUAUGCGUACUACUUGAACAGGUGUGCGUUACCAAAUAUUCAUCUGCUCAUCCGGACAUUUUCUAUUUUGUUAAGUUUCCUUUCCUUAAGUUUUGUUUUUACAAAAAAGGUUAUUUGUUUUAUACAGUUGUUAACUCUUACCCUGCAUUACAGCAACAAGUUCUAACCAGUGCAAAUCAUUACUAACCUGCAACAACAUGUCCGAUACUGUUAAACUUUAGACUAUAAAUUUUAAAUUAAUCUUUCCGGUGAAAACAGUACUGUACAAUUCCAGAAAUAAAGUAUAG